GAUGAACGCUGGCGGCGUGCCUAAUACAUGCAAGUCGAGCGAACAGAUAAGGAGCUUGCUCCUUUGAAGUUAGCGGCGGACGGGUGAGUAACACGUGGGUAACCUACCUAUAAGACUGGGAUAACUUCGGGAAACCGGAGCUAAUACCGGAUAACAUUUGGAACCGCAUGGUUCUAAAGUGAAAGAUGGCUUUGCUAUCACUUAUAGAUGGACCCGCGCCGUAUUAGCUAGUUGGUAAGGUAACGGCUUACCAAGGCGACGAUACGUAGCCGACCUGAGAGGGUGAUCGGCCACACUGGAACUGAGACACGGUCCAGACUCCUGCGGGAGGCAGCAGUAGGGAAUCUUCCGCAAUGGGCGGAAGCCUGACGGAGCAACGCCGCGUGAGUGAUGAAGGGUUUCGGCUCGUAAAACUCUGUUAUUAGGGAAGAACAAAUGUGUAAGUAACUGUGCACAUCUUGACGGUACCUAAUCAGAAAGCCACGGCUAACUACGUGCCAGCAGCCGCGGUAAUACGUAGGUGGCAAGCGUUAUCCGGAAUUAUUGGGCGUAAAGCGCGCGUAGGCGGUUUCUUAAGUCUGAUGUGAAAGCCCACGGCUCAACCGUGGAGGGUCAUUGGAAACUGGGAAACUUGAGUGCAGAAGAGGAAAGUGGAAUUCCAUGUGUAGCGGUGAAAUGCGCAGAGAUAUGGAGGAACACCAGUGGCGAAGGCGACUUUCUGGUCUGUAACUGACGCUGAUGUGCGAAAGCGUGGGGAUCAAACAGGAUUAGAUACCCUGGCAGUCCACGCCGUAAACGAUGAGUGCUAAGUGUUAGGGGGUUUCCGCCCCUUAGUGCUGCAGCUAACGCAUUAAGCACUCCGCCUGGGGAGUACGACCGCAAGGUUGAAACUCAAAGGAAUUGACGGGGACCCGCACAAGCGGUGGAGCAUGUGGUUUAAUUCGAAGCAACGCGAAGAACCUUACCAAAUCUUGACAUCCUUUGAAAACUCUAGAGAUAGAGCCUUCCCCUUCGGGGGACAAAGUGACAGGUGGUGCAUGGUUGUCGUCAGCUCGUGUCGUGAGAUGUUGGGUUGAGUCCCGCAACGAGCGCAACCCUUAAGCUUAGUUGCCAUCAUUAAGUUGGGCACUCUAGGUUGACUGCCGGUGACAAACCGGAGGAAGGUGGGGAUGACGUCAAAUCAUCAUGCCCCUUAUGAUUUGGGCUACACACGUGCUACAAUGGACAAUACAAAGGGCAGCUAAACCGCGAGGUCAUGCAAAUCCCAUAAAGUUGUUCUCAGUUCGGAUUGUAGUCUGCAACUCGACUACAUGAAGCUGGAAUCGCUAGUAAUCGUAGAUCAGCAUGCUACGGUGAAUACGUUCCCGGGUCU
rnacentral:rRNA from 1 species